rnacentral:tRNA from 1 species
UGGGGGAUCGUCUAGUGGUAGGACUCAGGAUUCUGGAUCCUGCUACCGAGGUUCGAAUCCUUGUCCCCCAGCCA